GAGUUUGAUCAUGGCUCACAGCGAACGCUGGCGGCAGGCCUAACACAUGCAAGUCCAGCGCCCGUAGCAGUACGGGAGCGGCAGACGGGUGAGUAACGCGUGGGAACGUGCCCUUUAGUUCGGAAUAACUCAGGGAAACUUGAGCUAAUACCGAAUACGCCCUUCGGGGGAAAGAUUUAUCGCUAAAGGAUCGGCCCGCGUAAGAUUAGCUAGUUGGUGAGGUAACGGCUCACCAAGGCUAUGAUCUUUAGCUGUUCUGAGAGGAAGAUCAGCCACACUGGGACUGAGACACGGCCCAGACUCCUACGGGAGGCAGCAGUGGGGAAUAUUGGACAAUGGGCGCAAGCCUGAUCCAGCCAUGCCGCGUGAGUGAUGAAGGCCUUAGGGUUGUAAAGCUCUUUUACCAGGGAAGAUAAUGACGGUACCUGGAGAAUAAGCCCCGGCUAACUUCGUGCCAGCAGCCGCGUUAC
rnacentral:rRNA from 1 species